AUUGAGUUCUCUCUUCCUCUCUUCCUAGCAUCCAUCUUUGCCUGGACCAGAGGUCUAGCUCAUAGAGCAAAAUUAGAUAACAACAAAGACCUCCAGAAUUUUGCUUCAGCCUUGGAGGAGGUCUGUGUAGAGACUAUUGAAGCUGGUUUCAUGACAAAAGACUUGUCUGCUUGCAUUAAAGGGCUGCCGAAUGUGAAACGCUCUGAUUAUUUGAACACAUUUGAAUUCAUGGAUAAACUUGCUGAAAACCUGAAGACAAAAUUAUCUUCUCAGCCAAGAUUGUAAGAGCUGGCCUUGAAGUAUUUGCUCUGGAAAGACAACUAUCUCGUGGAUGGGCGACUAUAUUAUGUAUUAUGUAUAUACAUAAAAGAAAUAAGGGUAGCACUUCAAAAAGUAAGCAAUCAACCUGAACCUUGUAAUGAUCAAACUCUCUCACCUCUAGCUUUCUGUAAUGUUGAGAGAGGAAAAGGCACAGGUAACAGCAGAACUGAUGUUUGUCUCUCUAUGGAAAAUAGCUUUUUCCUGGUCAGGAAUUAGGGGAAUUAAUAUUUGUUUAAGGGGAAUGGGCUCUAAAUUAAGUCAUUUUAAAGAAUUUUACUUUCUAACUCAUUAGAUUAUGUUCAGAAUGCAGAAAACACUUCUGACAAACCAUUCUAACAAAAUUGAAAAACACCCAGCUUGAUAUGGGCAAUGUUAGAAGAGGAUUUUAAUUACUUGUGGUGGGGAAGAAGUUUUAGAGGAAGCUUUACUAUGGCAUAGCCUUAUAACACAGUACAGGCAGAAACAAUCCUUGAAUUUCCUUACAUCUGGGAGCUGACUAAAGAGAAAAAAAGCUGCUUUUCUGCUUGCACAUGUAGCUUAAGACGGAGCAUUUCAAACUAACUUGUCACCCAAUUUGGAUUGGUGGUUAACAUUGAUUUUUAAAGCAGGAAAUAAACACUAAUACCCAU